GACAGAGGUCCCGAGCGUUAGGCGGAAUCACUGGGCUUAAAGCGUGUGUAGGCGGAUCGUUAAGUGCCUUGUGAAAUCCCACGGCUUAACCGUGGAACUGCUUGGCAUACUGGCGGUCUUGAGCAACCUAGGGGCAGGCGGAACAAAUGGUGGAGCGGUGAAAUGCGUAGAUAUCUGGAGGAACAUCGGUGGCGAAGGCGGCAUCCUGGACCGGUAUUGACGCUGAGGCGCGAAAGCCAGGGGAGCAAACGGG
rnacentral:rRNA from 1 species